AUCACCACUUCACAACACAUCUUUCUUAUUUUUUCUUUGUUCCUCUCUGUGAAGUCUCUCUCCGAGUGUUAGUGUUUCGGAAGCAAACCAUGAUCAGAUCGUCGCAUAUUGAUUCUCCUCCAUGCUGCUACAUCUUAAGGCGUUCGCACGGAUUUGUGGAGGAGGAUCAUACGAUAUAUCAAUCGGGGAUGGCUUUGACAUUGAUCGUUGUCACUCUCAUUCAUUCUAGGGUUUUGGAUGAUGGUUUUAUCAAUCGCUGAUGAUGGCUUUGAUGGACACGCUUCGUCUCUGUGCUACGUCUUCAAGGGUUUCGUUUCUCUCUCUAUUACAGUAUCUUCACUCGUUGUUUUGUUGCAUUGGUGGUGGCUGGUCUUCUAAACUAGUCUCUGGUUUUGGAUGAUGUUUACAUCAAUCAAUGAUGGCUUUGAUGGAAACGCUUCUUCUCUGUGCAACGUCUUCACUCUUCAGGGGUCUUUUGGGAAGCGAAUUAUUGAUCUGAUCAUCAUUACCUUCUACAUGCUGCUACGUCUUCAGGCAUUCUCACGGAUUUGUGGAGGAAGAUUCUACGAUUGUUCGGUGAUGGCUUUGACUGAUACUUGUCACUCUCAUUCAUGUGAUUCGUCUACGAUUGUGGAAAAUGCUUUGAUCGGUCUUUGAUGGUUUUGAUGGAUCAUUUUUUUCUUAUAUGCGCUACAAUUUCAGAUGUUCUUGCUGUGCACACAGAGAUGCACCUCAAAUUCUUUCCUAUACGAAUCGUGGAGGCACUGGGACAAGUAUAGUUAUAUGCAAAUCUUUCUUCUGGUCUGUCAUCUUUACAGUUAUUUUGAAGGACACCUUUGAUAUGUCGUCGCUUCCUGUUAGUCUGUUACCUCUUUGACGCUCUCUUCUAUCCCUUUGUUUUAUUUUUAGUGUUCUUUAUGAUCAGCUAAUGUUUUCUUUGGACAAAAUUUUUAUGUUAGAUUUUUUUUUUGUAUAUAAGCUAAAAGAUAUCUUCUCUAUUUGAUGCAGAUCGUCGUCGGGUCGAGGCACUAGGAUUGCUAUGUUGAAUCUUAUCUUCUCGUUUAUCAUCUGUUUAGUAUGUGGAAAAACACUUAUGCUGAAUUAUUGUAGCUGGACUUGGUGGAGAUGUGAUCAGUGAAAAGGAGAAGUUGAGAUCGUACUGAGAGAAGAUUUGCAAUGGCAAAAUCAAGUAUCUGAAAGACUGCAAGCUUUGGGAGCUACUAACAAGUAACAAGCCACAGGAGUUGGAUGAUGCGUGCUUAGGAGAUUGGAUACUCAGGAAGCGAUCUUCAAGCACUGUGGGAAGAAGCUGCAAUGAUGCCAAUCAGAGAAUCUCGGUGCAGAUAUUCUUACCAUCCAAGCAAAUAAAGUGAGACCGCUACAUCUGAUGAUUUGGUGAUUGGCAUUGGUGCUACUAACAAGCCACCGAAGAUGGCUGAUACAGUGCUUAGAAGAUGGUUUUGGAUGAUGCUUUUAUCGACAAGUGAUGCCUUUGACUGACCGUCCUCAGGCGUUUGUUUUGGAUGAUGCUUUUCUCUAUCAAUACUGAUGGCUUUGACUGAUCGUCCUCAAGCGUUCUCAUGGUCUUUGACUGCUCUUCUUCAGGCGUUCUCAUGGGUUCCAAUUGGAAUGGAGAAUAUAGUAACUCACAGCUACAAGCUUGCGGCCAGGUUUUGGAUGAUGUUUACAUCAAUCAAUGAUGGCUUUGAUGGAAACGCUUCUUCUCUGCGCAACGUCUUCACUCUUCAGGGGUUUUGUUCUGUACCUCUCUUAACACAUCUUUUUACUUCUUUUAUAUGUUUUGUACCUUACGUUUCUUUCUUCCUCUUGCAGGUCUUUUGGAAGCAAAUUAUUGAUCUGAUCAUUACCUUCUUCUACAUGCUACGCCAUCUUCAGGCAUUCUCACGGAUUUGUGGAGGAGGAUUCUACGAUUGAUCGGUGAUGGCUAUGACGGAUCCUUGUCACUCUCAUUCAUGUUAUUCUUCUAGGAUUGUGGAGGAUGCUUUGAUGGAUCUUUUUCUUCUUCUCUGUGCUACAUCUUCAGGUUUCAAGUAAUGUGCUCAUCUUUCUAGUGACGCUGACAUCUAUGUUUUAAGUCGAAGGCCUUGUCUUUUGUUAUAGAUAGUCGAGGUUUUAUAAGAUAAAAGCAUCAGUAAUCACCUAUGCUUGAGAUGAAGUAAUUAUCUUUGCAUAGGAGUUUGAAUGUUGCAAAGUGGAAGCUCUGUGUCUGUACAUCAUGGGUUUGUGUGGUAGGUGUGGGGAUGUCUGAGAAUAAGAGAACCGUAGCAUCUCCAUCUUCAGCUUCAGUUUCCUGCAAGCAAACCUGCGAAAAAAUCUGGAAAUGUCCACGAUGAUAAGUUAGUAGAGAUGAUAAACGCAACAAUAGCGGAUAGAAGCCCAUCUGUGAAAUGGGAUGAUGUUGCUGGACUUGAUGGAGCUAAACAAACAACCUUUACUGGAUAUGGUUGUAUUACCAGCUAAGCGAAGAGAUUUGUUCAUUGCACUCCGGAGACCAGCUAGAGGUGGGCUGAACAACUAGUUAAACGCUGUUUCAAGUUGCAAUAUCCAGGUAACCUUCUGUGAUUUUAAUGGAAGAAGUAUGUACUUUUCCCCUUUUAUGUCGUAUAAGUUAAUUUAAUUAGGUAGAGAGAGAGCCUACUCUUACCUGAGUUUUAGACAAUACCAUGUAAGUUGUAUUUGAGACGGAACUGCUACCUGAAUCGUGAUCGUGUUGGAAUCAAACCUUGAUUAAUGCUCAAACUUGAAAGAGAGAAAGAGUAACAAGAUUCACAAAGAGAAGAAGAAAGAAUCAGAAGAGUCCUUAGAUUGGAGAAGAAGGAGCCACGAGACUGAGGGAGAAGAGGAAGAGAAGACUUUUUGUUGUUGUUAAGGGAUAAAGGCCAUUGGGCUAUUGUGUUAAUCAAGCCCAUUAAGUGUUGGGUUUAGUGUUGUUGCAAACUAUAGGUUAAACAUUAACCUAAGUAUAAAUAGGUCGUAAGUUGCAUAAUGAACAAGAUAAGGAAAAAGUUUUAAGAAAAGAGAGAGGCUGCAACAACGUAACUUCGAACAGAUCGUUCAUGAUAAACAUGUUGUCAGUUGGAGGUCUGAAAAUGUUUUACUCUGGUUAUAAUGUUAACAAGGUCGAUCAGUCAAACAGAAGGGGCUACUAACAAGUAAGAAGCCACAGGAGUUGGAUGAUGCAGUGCGUAGGAGAUUGGUACGAACGUUAUCUCUGUCUGUCACCAGGAUUUGCAUAUCCACCGAUUGCUAAGGAAAGUAUCUGUUUAUAUGCAUUUUAUCACUUGGUUAGGAGAAGAGAAUACAUGUACCAUUGCCAGAUUCAAAAGUCAGAACACUACUAUUUAAAACUAAACUGAAGUGCCAGCGACGACAUUGAUAAAUUCGUCAGAGAAACCGAAGGCAAGCUCCAUAAAUUUUGUAUAAAAAAACACAGAUUAAAUUAUUAGCACUACUAAACGUGUUACAGUUUCGAGUGAAGCUAAGAAACAGAACAAAUGGGAAGAGCUUGAACGUUGGAACUCAGAAUUUGGCUCCAAUUUAAAUUUUCUUCUUGGAUUGUUUGUUUCUGUUGUAAAUUUGAGGUAUGGUUGUAAAAGUUAAGAAACAGAAACAAAAAAAAAAAUAAUAAUCAAAAUUUUUUCCACUCUUAAAAGAAGAAAACUGAUAUUAAGAUGGGUAAUGUGAUUGUAGAGUGUGAGUCUAAGUCUAGCAAGUCUAGCAAGUCUAGCAAGUCUAAGUCUAGUAAGGUCUAGCACACGAGACACGACCCUCAGAGAGAGUGCUGAGGGUAAAAUCGUCAUUUCGUAAAGCAGGUGAAGACUUACGAAACGGUCUCUGGUCUCUGUAGUGAAGAGAAGAAUUUUGAAUUCAAAAUUAGUUUCUUCGCUCUUCGUCUCUUUCUCUCUCUCUCUCUUAUCUUAAACUCAUCGUUGCUCUUGCUCUCUCGCCGUCGUAUGAGUCGGAAAAAAAAUGAGUAAGAAAUCGCCAGAACCUGACGCCGACGAUAGUGAGAAGCCAUGGACCCUGGCAGAUUUCGAGAUCGGGAGACCACUGGGAAAGGGUAAAUUUGGCAGAGUCUAUCUCGCUCGAGAAGUUAAGGUCUGCCAUGGUUUUGAAGGUGAAGAAGAAGAAGACACGAGUGCUCACCGAAAUGGCUCUAAUAUUCAUGAAGCUCGAUAAAAAAAAAAGAUGGAAACAAGCCUGUUUUGGUAACAUAGUGUGUACAUCUCUCAUACACAUAUGGUCUUUAUGGUAUCACAUUGAUCACAUAAAUGAGACAUAUGAGCUUUAUUGUAGCAUAUUGAUCACAUAGUUUAUGUGAUCAAUGUGGUAAGCAUAAAGGCCAUAUGUGCAUGAUAGAUGGUGACACACUAUGUUAUAGCAGUCUUGUUUCCAUUUUUUUUUUUUGUUGAUCUUCCCGGAACGGUUUCUGCUCUAUCCCAUCAUUAUUCCAGCUUCUCUCUCAUUUUUUUAACAUUCUUGGAUUGAUAUGGACGGUAGAUGAGAAUAGCACUUCCUUACUUCCCAUCACGACCUGUUUGCCGGGUUUGGUGAACAAAUGUCUCUGUGUUUAAUGAAUUACCUAUAAUGUUUAAAAUUGAUAGUUGAUAGCAAUGUUUACCAUCAAAAUCUAGAAAUUUAGGAACCUAAUUGGUUGUUGCGAUUUUGUUCACAUAUAUGAUAUAGAGCAAGUUCAUAGUUUGGCGCUCAAAGUGAUAUCCUCGGCCUCUACGGUUGGUUCCAUGACGACUAUGAACGCUUUUUCUUGAUUCUCUCGAGUAUGCUCAUGGUCAUGGUGGUGAGCUCUAAUCUUCCGGCCUCCUCAAAGAGAAUGGCCAUAUCUCUGAAAAGCAAGCAAGACGCCACUAGUUCAUUGCAAAUCUCAGUCAGGCACGAGCCUAUUGUCAUGGAAAUCUGUGAUUCACAGAGACAUCAUACCUGAAAAGUGAAAACGUUGUUGCUCGAUCAUGAGAAGAAACUUAAAACCGCAGCUCCUGAUGAGCUUGUGCUUGUCCAAUUUAAUGGUAUGCAGAAUUUUUCAUAUCGAUCUGACUUUUCCCACUACCCCAAAUGUUUCAGCAGAAGCCAAACAUCUUAUCAGUCAGCUUCUUGUUAAGGAGGAUCUCUCAGAAACGACUCUCCAUUGAUAAGGUCAUGCAACAUCCGUGGAUUGUCAAGAAAGAACGCAGAUCCUAAAGGUGUGUGCCUCAAUUGAUUUGAUGCUAUUCUCCUAACCUCGGGGCAAAGUAGGCUUAUAUCGUCUCUCCCAUGACUUAAAAUCCUUUCACUUCCUUUUUACUUUCUUUGGAAUUCAAAGUUCAUUUCUUUUAUAUAAAAACUGGUCUAAUUUUUCACCUAUAUGUGUUCUGAUCUUAUGGAAUUGGCGACAUACGUAACUACCAAAAUGAUGAAAUAGGUUACAUAAGUUUUCGUCCCUCCUAAACAGGCUGAAGAACCACACUCCAGGGUUAUCCUCUUAACAUAAGUUUUUGUUAAGGCAUUAAUUGUAUACUAAAAUCCUCUUUUUGAUCCUUGGUCAGCCUCACUUUUAUCCGGUAGCGACAUUGAUAAAAUUGUCAGAGAAACCGAAG